rnacentral:tRNA from 1 species
GCCUCCAUAGCUCAGCGGUUAGAGUACUGGAUUUUAAACCAGGAGUUGUGAGUUCAGUUUUCACUGAGGGCU